rnacentral:lncRNA from 1 species
GUACCAACAGGUCACGUUUGGUUAGAAGGUGAUAACUUAGAGAAUUCUACCGAUUCCAGAUGUUACGGACCUGUACCAUAUGGACUCAUAAGAGGACGGAUCUUCUUUAAGAUUUGGCCUUUCAGUGAUUUUGGAUUUCUGCGUGACAGCCCAAAUGGCCACAGAUUUUCUGAUGAUUAAUAAGUAUUUCCUUUUAAUUUGAUUAUUGUCUCCUAUUCAAGUGACUUUAUUCUUACUACAGUUGAAACCGUGAACUUAACAAUAAACUAUUUGCUAUUCAGUUUUAUUUAUGUUUUAAAUGUAAGAGUAAAUACCACGCUCUGCAAUAUACAUGAACUAAAAGUAUAUGGAUAAAAAUU